UAUAGUGUGGUGCAGUGGUUUGCAUGUUAGACUGCAGUUCUGGGGACCAGAGUUCGAUUCCCUGCUCAAUCA